rnacentral:pre_miRNA from 1 species
UGUUUUCCGAAAAAUGUGCUGAGAUUUCGUCACACAUCAGACCACAAGGGCUGUUGAGACUCCCAAGAUAAGUGAAAUG